GGUAUCUCCAAGGAUGGUCAGACCCGUGAGCACGCUCUUCUUGCUUUUACCCUUGGUGUCAAGCAGAUGAUUUGCUGCUGUAACAAGAUGGAUGCUACUACCCCCAAAUACUCCAAGGCUAGGUACGAU